AGAGUUUGAUCAUGGCUCAGAACGAACGCUGGCGGCGUGGAUAAGACAUGCAAGUCGGACGAGAUUUUUCGUUGUAGCAAUACGAUGGAAAGUCUAGUGGCGAACGGGUGCUUAACACGUGGGCAACCUGCCGAGAAGUGGGGGACAGCUCGCCGAAAGGCGGAUUAAUACCGCAUGUGAUUAGGGAGGACAUCCUCUCGAAAUUAAAGUCGGGGCAACCUGACGCUUCUUGUGGGGCCCGCGGCCUACCAGCUAGUUGGUGAGGUAAUAGCUCACCAAGGCUUUGACGGGUAGCUGGUCUGAGAGGACGACCAGCCACACUGGGACUGAGACACGGCCCAGACACCUACGGGUGGCAGCAGUCGAGAAUUUUUGACAAUGGGGGAAACCCUGAUCGAGCGACGCCGCGUGGAGGAUGAAGGUCUUCGGAUUGUAAACUCCUGUCAUUGGGGAACAAUGCCCCGAAUUUAACUGAUUCGGGGUUGAUAGUACUCGAAGAGGAAGAGACGGCUAACUCUGUGCCAGCAGCCGCGGUAAUACAGAGGUCUCAAGCGUUGUUCGGAUUCAUUGGGCGUAAAGGGUGCGUAGGCGGCGCGGUAAGUCGGGUGUGAAAUCUUGGAGCUUAACUCCGAAACUGCAUUCGAUACUGCCGUGCUCGAGGACUGGAGAGGAGACUGGAAUUUACGGUGUAGCGGUGAAAUGCGUAGAUAUCGUAAGGAAGACCAGUGGCGAAGGCGGGUCUCUGGACAGUUCCUGACGCUGA
rnacentral:rRNA from 1 species